GACGAACGCUGGCGGCGUGCUUAACACAUGCAAGUCGAGCGAGGCCUUCCCUUCGGGGGAGUGUCCUAGCGGCGAACGGGUGAGUAACACGUGGGCAACCUGCCCACAGCUCUGGGAUAACCCCAAGAAAUUGGGGCUAAUACCGGAUAUGACCGCUGACCGCAUGGUCUGGUGGUGGAAAGAUUUAUCGGCUGGGGAUGGGCCCGCGGCCUAUCAGCUUGUUGGUGGGGUAGUGGCCUACCAAGGCGACGACGGGUAGCCGGCCUGAGAGGGGGACCGGCCACAAUGGGACUGAGACACGGCCCAGACUCCUACGGGAGGCAGCAGUGGGGAAUAUUGCGCAAUGGGCGGAAGCCUGACGCAGCGACGCCGCGUGGGGGAUGACGGCCUUCGGGUUGUAAACCUCUUUCAGCAGGGACGAAGCGAAAGUGACGGUACCUGCAGAAGAAGCACCGGCCAACUACGUGCCAGCAGCCGCGGUAAUAC
rnacentral:rRNA from 1 species